AGAGUUUGAUCAUGGCUCAGGAUGAACGUUGGCGGUGUGCCUAAUACAUGCAAGUCGAACGGAGUCAGUAGCAAUAUUGGCUCAGUGGCGAACGGGUGAGUAACGCGUUGGUGAUCUGCCUCGAAGUGUGGAAUAACGUUUCGAAAGAGACGCUAAUACCGCAUGUGCUCUCGAUUUUCAGAAAGUUGAGAGUAAAGGAUUUAUUCGCUUCAAGAGGAGCCUGCGUCCCAUCAGCUGGUUGGUAGGGUAACGGCCUACCAAGGCUAUGACGGGUAGGGGACCUGAGAGGGUGGCCCCCCACAAUGGAACUGAAACACGGUCCAUACACCUACGGGUGGCAGCAGUAGGGAAUAUUAGAAAUGGACGAAAGUCUGAUCUAGCAACACCGCGUGUGCGAAGAAGGCCUUCGGGUCGUAAAGCACUUUUUGGAAGGAAUAGGAAGGAAUGUACUUCCAGAAUAAGUCUCGGCUAACUACGUGCCAGCAGCCGCGGUAACACGUAGGAGGCAAACGUUAUCCGGAUUUACUGGGCGUAAAGCGCGUGUAGGUGGUACUGUAAGUAGGGCGUGAAAGCUCCUGGCUCAACUGGGAGAGGCCGUUCUAAACUACAGAACUAGAGGAUGGUAGAGGGAGGUGGAAUUCCAGGUGUAGCGGUGGAAUGCGCAGAUAUCUGGAGGAACACCGGUGGCGAAGGCGGCCUCCUGGACCAUUCCUGACACUCAGACGCGAAAGCUAGGGUAGCAAACGGGAUUAGAGACCCCGGUAGUCCUAGCCCUAAACGAUGUAGACUAGGCGUCGGAAGUUUAAUCACUUUCGGUGUCCAAGCUAACGCGAUAAGUCUACCGCCUGGGGACUACGGCCGCAAGGUUAAAACUCAAAGGAAUUGACGG
rnacentral:rRNA from 1 species